rnacentral:tRNA from 1 species
UGGGCUGUAGCCAAGCGGUAAGGCACCAGACUUUGACUCUGGCAUCGUGUGUUCGAAUCUCACCAGCCCAACCA